GAAGGGGGCUAGCGUUGUUCGGAAUUACUGGGCGUAAAGCGCGCGUAGGCGGAUACUUAAGUCAGGGGGGUGAAAUCCCGAGGGCUCAACCUCGGGAACUGCCUUUGAUACUGGGUAUCUUGAGUUCGAGAGAGGUAAGUGGAAUUCCGAGUGUAGAGGUGAAAUUCGUAGAUAUUCGGAGGAACACCAGAGGCGAAGGCGGCUUACUGGCUCGAUACUGACGCUGAGGCGCGAAAGCGUGGGGAGCAAACAGGAUUAGAUACCCUGGUAGUCCACGCCGUAAACGAUGGAUGCUAGCCGUUGGAUAGUAUACUAUUCAGUGGCGCAGCUAACGCAUUAAGCAUCCCGCCUGGGGAGUACGGUCGCAAGAUUA
rnacentral:rRNA from 1 species